AACUUCCAGUCACCUUCGUUUUGAGUUCAACCAGAAAAGCACCAGAUACUCUGCAUUACUGCACUGUCAUUUUUCAGCUGGAGACCUGGCCCAGGGGCUGCUCCCUCACAGCACAGCCCAGCACAGUAUAGUUUCAUACUUUUUAGCUCACAGCCCUUGCAUGAAAAGUCUCACCAAUAUUUACUCAUCCUCUUAAGGGUUGCAUGGCCAAGCCCUAGAACACAUUCCUAAAUGCUACGGAAAAAUUAUGACACAAAGGAAGUAAUGUUUUUUACCUUAGUACUUAAAAAAAAGUACAAAGCCACGUUGUCUGGAACAUGAAAAAAAACCUUUGCUGUGGUGAGGAAUGAGGGAAUACACUGAACUGGAAAAUCCUGUAGUUCACAAGGGUUGGGCUGGCCAACUUAAUAAUUGCUUUUUUCCUUCCAUCUCUAAUGAGAACUGGAGCAUUCACAGACGUAGGUAUUAACAAUACCUCAACAUAGUGUCUAACUCUGUGAAGCAGAGAUAUAAAAAUAAGGGGUUUGGGCGUCUGUCUGCAUUGUGCUUUGCAAAAUUACUUUGAGUACCUGAAGGUGUUCAAAACACCAGAAGAAAAAAGGUAGUUUGAACAUGUCCAUCCUCAGGUGGUGCAUUGGUGUUCACACUGGGCCAGUCUCCUCAACUCCAGUCACUCCAGAAUGCAGCAGGAAGGAGAUCGAAUGGCACAACUGACAGGAGUCUCCCAAACUUUUUCAGAAUCUUGAAAGCCUCUCCUGCAUCUGACACUGCAUGGCUGAGAAUUCUGAACGCAGUGAUUAUUCAUCUCUCAUUAUCAACAAAAGCCUUUGGAUUCCAGAAUUUCAGUGAUCAGCAACUGAGGACUGAAGGGCACUGCUAUGGUGACAUCUCAUUAAAACUUUGAAAAGACCUUCUCAGAGUUCAGAUAAUGUGGAAGCUUGAUUUGUCCAUGCAGAUGGACACAUGCCAGCACCCCAAACUGCUUACAAAGAAAAUCCCUCAUAAGAAUUCUCAAAGAGCAGCAAAAUAUGCUGACGUGGAAGGACACUGCAUGCAUAAGGUGGACAAUAACAUGGGCAGUUUUAUUUGAAGCUUUUUAUAAACCAUGGUUUCAAAAAAUAUUCAUACAUACAUAUGUAAAAGCAAAGGAAUGUCUUAAUGAGUAGGUUAUAUUGCAUCAAGUCAGACAAAAGUUAAAUAAUGCAAAAAUUAAGAUUGCCUGUGAAACCUAAUUUGGUACCUCAUGUGUUUAAUACUGGUGGCAGCCAGCCCCCAAAGCCUUUGUGUUCCCUUCUUGCAAUUUUAUCUCAUUCACUAAACAAAGGAACAAAUAAACUUUAAUUAAAUUCCUGCA